UGUUUAUCAAAAACAUCGCUUUAUGAAAAAAUAUAUAAAGUAAGUCCUGCCCAGUGAAAAUUUUCAACGGCCGCGGUAUUAUGACCGUGCAAAGGUAGCAUAAUAACUUGCCUAUUAAUUGUAGGCUAGAAUGAACGGAUAAACGAAAUAAAUGCUAUUUAUAUAAGAUACUUAAAAACUUAUUUCUAAGUGAAGAAGCUUAGAUUUUAAUAAAGGACAAGAAGACCCUAUAGAGCUUAAAUUUAUAAAUUUAAUUAAUUUUACAUUUCGAUUGGGGCAAUUAUGGUAAAUUAACCAUUUAUAUUUAAGAUAAAUAAAUCAAAGUAAUGAACUUAAUAAAUCAUCAAAUCAAGCUACCUUAGGGAUAACAGGCUAAUCUUACUAUAGAGCUCUUAUCACCAGUAAGGAUUGGCACCUCGAUGUUGGCUUAGAAUAUCUUUAUGAUGCAGCAAUCAUAAUAAGAAAGUUUGUUCAACUUAUAAUAUUCUACGUGAUCUGAGUUC
rnacentral:rRNA from 1 species